UUCUUCAGAAAGCAUCUGGAGCACGGAAAAUUCUGUACAAGAAAUGUAAAAAGUGGGAAAGUUGGAUACCAAAGUGAACGGACAAAGCAUCCAGCCUGUCUCCAGCAGUGCUCAAAUAACAGAAAUGAGUGCAGUUCAAGAUCACACUAAGAGAAAUAACACAACUGGGAAGCAAGAGGUGAAGGCAUCGGUACAAGAGCUUGUUUCUCGAGCUACUUCCCCGAGUCAAGGCUGUUGCUGCGGAAAAGAUCACACCACCAAAUUCGGCAUAUCAAUUUGAGGUUUCUUGGCGAGGAUUCUCUGGAGAUAAUGCUCGACAGACUAGCCUGUUGAAGGCUAUAUCUCCAAGUGCAUUGCCGCAGAUAUUCAAAAAUGCUUUGACUGUUCCCAUACGGCUUGACAUUAUCAAGUGUGUGGCAACCUUUUUCGUUGAAGAAAUGGAUUUGGCCGUCAAUUAUCUGGAGAACUUAACCAGGGUUCCAAGAUUUGACACACUCGUCAUGUUUCUUUCAUCCUCAGACAACGCUGAUCUUGUUAAGAUAUGGGAUGAAGUGUUUGACAAUGAGGCAACUCCGAUUGAGUAUGCUGAGAAGCUUGAUAACCUGCGUACAAAGUACUGCCCCAAGCGAUGACAAAGCUCAACAAGAACCAGAAUACUGAUUGGCUAGGCAUAUAUUAUGUGCUGCACGCGAAAGAUUUCUCUUUGAAGCAAAAACGGUUGGAGAUAGGAGGUUGAACAGAGUUUGUAUGGCCAAGUAAUUAGCAAAAAGUAAAGACUUCUCUUCUGGGAUGGAUGAGCAACUAGCUAAGGAGGCAAUAAAAGCAGGUAGACCAUUGAUCUUGCGUUAAUAGUCAUGUACAUGUUUUGUGAUAUACAUUUUACAGUGCAGAAUGGUCUUCAGAUAAUUUUCUGUUUCUUAUA